GCCAGCCGUCCAGGGUCAGACUUUAAAGAGGGGGAAGGGAACAGAAGCCCACAGAAUAGAUAACGCAGUAGCGCAGUCGCCCAGACUCAUAAGCACUGAGGUCACCGUCGCUCUUCUACCCUCUCGGUCUCCGCCCUCUUCUGAGCGCCGACCGAGAGCAUGCAAAAACAGCAGUUACAAAACAGCGCGAAGCUGCAACCCAGUCAAAGAGCACACAUAGAAUCGUUAAAAAGAAAUUAAAGGCACAUUCUCCUGACUGCAAGUAGGAGUCUACCAAGUCACGUUGCCUAGAGAAAAUGGGGAGAGGGGAAUGAAUGGAGAACCAAGUAGGGAAAACUUUUCUACCUGUUGGCUGUCCCACGUGUUGCGGCUCCGGGUCCCGCUGAGGCCACUGCGUUCCAAGGUCUUCUCCCUCAUGUUCUGCACCCCUCGCGGGCAGGGUCUCAUCGUCCAUGACUCCACACUUGGCGCCACCACCGCCCCGCCGCCUCCGCCGCAGGAGAUGGAACUGAGGCCGCUCGAUCGGCUCCUCCUCGGCGGCGGCGGGGGCGAGGCGCUCAGUGGCAGCUGCGGGUGCCGGCUGGAUGAAGAACUCCUCGCCUUGCAGGUAGAAGGCGCCACGCACGCCCUCGCAGAGGCUGAGGGCUGCGGCCGAGCUGGGGUCACCAUUAACGGUGCCAGAGUAGAAGCAGUGUGCUAGGUCGCCGGCGGGGUCCAGACGCUGCGCCUCAGGCGCGGGUUUGCGCCCCACAGUCUGGAGUGUGAAGCCUGGCGCCAAGAAGCCGCGGUCGGGCUGUAGCUUCAGGUGCAGCCGCUGGCCAAACGCGUCUAGGCGGAGGCGCGUGGUCUCGCGUCCUUCGGCGCGCUCCAGGGCUGGCAGCACCAGCUCUUCGUCCUCCUCCGCGGGGCGCCCAUGCGCGCCGGGCACUAUAAACAGCACUGCAGCCGCCGCGAGCAGCAGCAGCGUGGGUGCAGGCUGAAAGCUCCAAGAACGUGGCGCUCGCUCAGCGUACCCCAUAUCGCCGACCAGCCUGUGCCUUCGGGACUCCACAGGGACUGAUCUUUGCAUCAGAGCUCUGGGAGACGCGGCACUCUGAAGGAGGGGGAGCUGAGCUGGCUUUCUCCGGAUUGUCAAAGUUUACUAUUAUUCUUUGAAAGUUAGCGGAGAACCGGCUACAGCCGAACCUCCCAGUCACUUAGAAGGCGCCGAGAUUCUGCCGGCGCGCGGGAAGGUUUUCUUCCAGCGCAGAGUUGGAGGCACCGCACGGUGGGCGCUAUGGAGUGGCCGCUGAGGGAAAAAGAAGCGCUCUAGGGCACCUCCGGGGCUGGGGGCAACUCGAGGAUCGGUGCCUUGCGCUACCCUUCGUCCUCCGCCUAGUACUGCUCACUCUGAGCAGGACUCUUGCCCUCUCCGCCCGACUGUGCGCUCUAGCUUCGCAAUAAGCGCUUGGCUCGUAGCGGCUUCCAGCGAGUGCAAGAACUGUGCAGCCCGGACCGCCCCUUUAUAGCCCUGGAAUGAGCCCCUCCUCCAUCUUGGCCGCCUUUCCAUCCCAAAGACACCGCCCCCUGAGCUCAGUCGGUGCUAAACCGCGCUCAGCGCCGCGGGCCCCCGGGGGGGAGGGGGCAGCCUCCGCGCUGGCUUCGUGCCAGUGCUCGUCAAUCUAGGGGGCGGAAGACGCAGAACGGCACUGUGACCAGCACUUUGUACAGCCUGGGCCACUCAGGGGGGAAAAAAUUCUCCCUUCCACCACGCCUCUUCCCCGCAGACUUCCUGGACCACCCUGCCUUCUCCUUUGUGGGGUACUCAGUAUACCCUCUGGGCUGCAGCUCCCAGGAGGGAGGUUCAGGGUGGAUAGUUGGGUCCCUUUACCAAAAUUUCCCUUCUCUGGAGUGGCCCCUAAGUUUCCCUCUCUGCCUGCAUAGCCCUUUCUUCCCCAGUCUGGAAGAUGGGCCGCCCUUUCUAGAAAGAAUAGCCUGCCCACCUCUCCGUCUCCCUAGGCUGCCAGGAGCUCCUUUGCUGCAAAGCUCUCUUUGCCCCAACUUUUCUUAGGGAAAGCUUGGUUGGUGUUGGCUUUGCGUCCGCCCUGUACAAACGGUCUGGGGGCACAUCCUAGACUCAGGAUUGUAAAAUGGGUCUGCAUUGACCUUUACUCUCUUCCCUCUCCCCGGCCCCGCGCCACAUAAGAACUUUUUGUGGGGACCCGUGUUCCCAUUUCCUUAAGAGCUGAUCUGGAACGGGGUUCAUUUCCUAGAGCCCAUGGAAGGAAUUGGGUUUUCUCUUCUUCAUUCGAGAAAGUAAGUCCCGCGGGUCGCCCACCUAAGUGCAGCUGCUGCAGGCCGUAGGCGAGAUGAGCAGAACAAUUAAGGAACCCCACUUUGCUAUUCAGGGGCAGCGGCGAUCGCGGAGGAUAGAAAAUAUGUCGUGGAGAAAAGAGGAAAUGGAUUUCCUUCCCCACCCCGCCCUCCUCUUCCUAGUGGGAAGGGAAAAGCAGGCGUCCGUGUUACGAAAGCGACAAAGCUGAGCCUUUCCACCCCCAGGUCCCUAAGAAAAAGCUGAGCGGCUCUUCCAUCGAAAAGGGAGGGGCUCAGUGCUUCAAAGGAAGGAACUGUUUCACAAUGCGCUCACAGGCGGAAAGCCACUGGGACAAUGGUGAGAACGCCAAAGCCCGGGGCAGACUCUCGUCCCUCACACUCGCUUUCUACCACUUCCUCGCCCUUCUCGGUCUCUCUCGGGUCUCGCCGCCCCACCCCCACCCAGUCCCUCCGUAGGCUCCCAGUUGCUCUCGGCUUUGCCUUGCUCCUCCCCAGAUCUUUCCAACUCCAGUUGGCCUCAGUCAGAAGCACUCCCUGGAGUCCUCUCAUUGGUCCCUCAAAGUUUUCUUUUAGGACUCUUACCAACACCUUUUCUCUUAAGCCUUCUAGAUUGCUUACUUGAACAACAAAAACAAAAACAAAAAUUUCGCUUCAGGAACCAUCAAAAGAGAAAGAAUGACAGACAGAAGCAAAACACUUUGCCCUUCAAGGGUUCCAUAACACCCCCUGGUCCUCAGGCCUUCCAGAAUGGGUGGUCUUAACUGUAAUUUUGGUUUCUUCAGCUCGAACUCAUAGUUAAAAGUUGAAUGAUUAACUCGAAAACAUAUUUUAAGAGCACAUUCUGGGUUACCAGUUUUGUUUGUUACUUCCUCUUCCACGUUUCCACCACCUAUCAUUUUGAUGUUGUGUUUGAGAUACCUUCUUGAAUCUUGCAGCAAUCCGUCUUGUAUCAUAUUGGAUUUCUCACUCAUGUACUUAAUAUUGACUUUCACACUCAUGUAUCAUGAGUGGCCAUUUGGUUCUAUAUUGUCCAGUCAAACUCUUUCUCUUCAUCUUUGAACUAAGAAGAUUAUUCCCCUAUUCCUCACAAGAGGCCUUUCUCAAACAUGGAACAUCUCUGCUCCCUAGUUUGGCUUGCAGACAUUCUUUUACAUUUCCCUCUUUUGCAUUCUAUUUUUUAUGAUCUCAUUUUAUUUCAUUUGUUCCUUCUUUCUAACUACUAGAAAGUUUAGAGAUUGGAGAGGACAUUGGAAGAAAGUUAUCUUAGACUUAUUUCUACAGAAUUAUGAAAACAUGAUGGCAAAGUCAUCAACACAGUUUCAAAUCUCUAGCUUGCAAGAGGGCUCAGAAUGCAUAUGGUAACCAGUACUUGGAGCUUCACACUGGCUUUGAGAUAGAGAUUUCAGAUACUUGAGGUGGCCCUGGGGAACCAAAAGACUUUCCAGGUCUGGGACGGUAAGUGUGAUUCCCUUGAAUUGUGGCAGAAAGGGAAAUUAAGAAGAAGCAGAAAAUGUGUAACUUUAAAUAAAAAUUGUGUAAUGUAUUCCAGCCUGUCAACUGCCCUUACAUAUAUGCUUCAGCUUUUAAAAUACAUUAGUGCAAGUUUGGCCUUUGGUU